GGAUGUGAGGGUGAUCUGGCUGCAACCUCUGUCACCCCAUUGAUCGCCAAGGUUGAUUCAGCUGGUUUGACUGGCUAGGUGGGUGUCCCCUUCCUCCCUCACUGUUCCAUGUGCGGUCCUCCCCAAGCUGUGUGCUUGGUGGAAGAGGAUGACCAUCCCAGAUAGAAGGAGAUUACUGUUCUUCGGUCAAGAGUAUACGAUAGCUGCGCUUCCCUGCUAGAACCUCCAAAGAAGCAAAAAUAUGUAUGUUAAGGGAAAAUGCACAGAGAUGAUUGUCCAGAUUGUGGAAGACAACUAGCAAGAACUGCAUCUAUUGGU
rnacentral:snRNA from 1 species